rnacentral:rRNA from 1 species
UAACACGUGAGCAAUCUGCCCUUCUCUUUGGAAUAACCAUUGGAAACGGUGGCUAAUGCCGAAUAUGAACUCCUUUCGCAUGUUGGGGGUUGGAAAGCUUUGGCGGAGAAGGAUGAGCUCGCGGCCUAUCAGCUUGUUGGUGAGGUAAUGGCUCACCAAGGCAUUGACGGGUAGCCGGCCUGAGAGGGUGACCGGCCACACUGGGACUGAGACACGGCCCAGACUCCUACGGGAGGCAGCAGUGGGGAAUAUUGGACAAUGGGCGAAAGCCUGAUCCAGCAACGCCGCGUGAGGGAUGACGGCCUUCGGGUUGUAAACCUCUUUCAGCAGGGACGAAGCGAGAGUGACGGUACCUGCAGAAGAAGGACCGGCCAACUACGUGCCAGCAGCCGCGGUAAUACGUAGGGUCCGAGCGUUGUCCGGAAUUAUUGGGCGUAAAGGGCUCGUAGGCGGUUUGUCGCGUCGGGAGUGAAAACUCAGGGCUCAACCCUGAGCGUGCUUCCGAUACGGGCAGACUAGAGGUAUGCAGGGGAGAACGGAAUUCCUGGUGUAGCGGUGGAAUGCGCAGAUAUCAGGAGGAACACCGGUGGCGAAGGCGGUUCUCUGGGCAUUACCUGACGCUGAGGAGCGAAAGCAUGGGGAGCGAACAGGAUUAGAUACCCUGGUAGUCCAUGCCGUAAACGUUGGGCGCUAGGUGUGGGGACCUUCCACGGUUUCCGUGCCGCAGCUAACGCAUUAAGUCGGUUUACAGGUG